GGCGAACAAGGAAGUCAGCCUGCCCAGUGACUAAGUUAAACGGCCGCGGUACCCUAACCGUGCAAAGGUAGCGCAAUCACUUGUUCUUUAAAUGAGGACUAGUAUGAACGGCAUCACGAGGGUUAUACUGUCUCCCUAUUCCAUUCAGUGAAACUGAUCUUCCCGUGAAGAAGCGGGAAUAUAAAUAUAAGACGAGAAGACCCCAUGGAGCUUUAAACUCAGUGUCAUCUGCCACUUCAAUACCCUCUUAACCACGCAGACAUGAUAACUAGUUUUCGGUUGGGGUGACCGCGGAGUAAAACAAAACCUCCACAACGAAAGGAACUAACAACCUAAUCCAAGAGCAACAUCUCUAAGAAUCAACAAAUUGACUUAAUUGAUCCAAUUACUUGAUCAACGAACCAAGUUACCCUGGGGAUAACAGCGCAAUCCAUUUCAAGAGCUCAUAUCGACAAAUGGGUUUACGACCUCGAUGUUGGAUCAGGGUAUCCCAGUGGCGCAGCAGCUACUAACGGUUCGUUUGUUCAACGAUUAAAACCCUACGUGAUCUGAGGUUCAAACCGGGG
rnacentral:rRNA from 1 species